GGCCUGUUGAUUUUAAUUUUAGGUCUUACCUGCCCAAUGAGGGAUUGAAUGGCCGCAGUAUAUUGACUGUGCAAAGGUAGCAUAGUCACUAGUUUUUUAAUUGAAAGCUUGAAUGAAAGGUUUGAUGAGAGGAUAACUGUCUCUGUAAAAAUUUAAUAGAAUUUUAUUUUUAAGUAAAAAAGCUUAAAUUUAUAUAGAAGACGAGAAGACCCUAUAGAGUUUUAUAUUUGCAAGUUAAAGUUAAAUUUAUAGGAUUAAAAUGUAUUUAUUUUGUAAGUAUUUUGUUGGGGUGAUAGAAAAAUUAAUUAAACUUUUUUUGUAUUAGAACAUUAAUUAAUGAGUAGAUGAUCCUAUAGUAUAGAUUAAAAGAUAAAAUUACCUUAGGGAUAACAGCGUUAUUUUUUUUAGAGUUCUUAUCGAAAAAAAAGAUUGCGACCUCGAUGUUGGAUUAAAAUUUAUAAUUGGUGAAGAAGCUAAUUAAUUAGGUCUGUUCGACCUUUAAAAUUUUACAUGAUCUGAGUUUAAACCGGCGUGAG
rnacentral:rRNA from 1 species